AUGUGCUGGUGUAGUGCCAUACAAUCUGCUGAUGGAUGGACUUUGCAAGAGUGGAAGAGUAGACGAGGCUUUUCGGCUGAAGGAGAGGAUGGAAGAGAGCAAGGUGACUCCGAGCGUGGUCACCUUUGGCAUUCUGAUCAAUGGUCUUGCAAGAAGUCAGCGCUUUGGGGAGGUUGGUGCAGUGUUGCAGGACAUGGCUGGUUAGGAAUCACCCCAAAUGAGAUCAUUUACAAUGAGCUUAUUGAUUGCCAUUGUCGGAGGGGGCAUUUCUCAGAAGCAAUCAGGUUGUUUGAUGAAAUGCUCUCAAAGGAGAUGAAGUCAACAGCAGUGACUUACAACUUGAUUGCUAGAGCUCUAUGCAAGGAAGGGGAGAUGGAGCGUGCUGAGCAGAUAUUGGAGGAGAUGUUAUCGGCUGGGAUGGUAGUUCAUUUUGGUUUGUUUAAUUCAGUGGUUGCAGGGCUUCUCCAAAGGACUGGAAGUUUGAAGUCUGUGGUAAGGCUUAUAAGCGAAAUGAUUAUAAGAGGUAUGCGACCAAAUGAUGCUCUCAUGACAGCUUGUGUGAAGCAGCUUUGCAAGGGCGAAAAACACCAAGAAGCAGUUGGAAUUUGGUUGAAGUUGUUGAAGGAAGGUUUGUCUGUCAAUAUUGCAACUUCUAAUGCAUUGAUUCAUGGGCUUUGUGAGGGGAAGGACAUGGAAGGAGCUACUGAGGUUCUAAGGACCAUGGUUAAUAAGGGGCUUGAACUGGAUAGCAUCACUUAUAACAUAAUGAUACUAGGUUGCUGCAAAGGCAAUAAAAUAGAGGAAGCAAUUAAACUCCGUGAUGACAUGAUCAGAAGAGGGUUGAAGCCUAAUAUUUUCACGUUUAAUACAAUACUACAUGCUUAUUGCAUUUUGGAUAAAAUGGAAGAGGCCAUUCACCUGCUGGAUCAGAUGAAAAUUGAGGGACUUCGGCCAGAUAUAGUGUCAUAUGGCACUAUAAUAAAUGGAUAUUGUAAAAUAAAGGAUAUUCAUAAAGCAAAUGAAUAUUUGACUGAACUGAUGACCUGUGGAUUAGAACCAAAUGUAGUAAUCUAUAAUGCACUUAUUGGUGGUUAUGGUAGAGUUGGUAACAUUUCUGGUGCAAUUGAUGUCCUUAACACCAUGAAGUCUGCUGGCAUAAGACCAACUAAUGUAACUUACUGCAGUCUUAUGCACUGGAUGUUCCAUGCUUAUCUUGUUGACGAGGCGAAGACCAUGUUUGAACAAAGCAGAGAAAACAGCAUUGAGGUGGGAGUAAUUGGCUACACAAUUAUGAUACAUGGUUUUUGCAAAAUAGGAAAAAUGGAUGAAGCUAUGAAUUACUUGGAGCAAAUGCGGUCCAGGGGUAUACCUCCAAAUAAGUUUACUUAUACCACUCUGAUGUAUGCCUAUUGUAAAUCUGGUAAUAAUGAAGAAGCCUCCAAGCUUUUUGAUGAGAUGCUGAGCUCAGGAAUUGUUCCUGACAACGUUACUUACAAUACACUAGUUACAGGGUUUUCUCAAGUGGAUCCAUUGGACAAGGCUACAGAACUGCCUGCUGAAAUAUCAAGUGUUUUGACACAGAAUGAUUGUUUGUACAAUGCAUUAGUUAAUAGGAUAACCAGACCUUGGUGCCAGAAAGAAGCUACUUCCAGUGAAUGA
rnacentral:rRNA from 1 species